UGUGAACCCUGUGUGGCUAUGAGAGAUCAAUGUAGAUCCAUCAGCUGUAACGAGUGUACCAGUCUGAUGGGGGGAUGUUGAUUAUGGGGGGAGCUGUGCCUGUUGAGGGUAGGGUGUAUGUAGGAAAUCUCUGUAUCUUCCUUUGAAUUGCAUUGUGAACCUAUAACUGCUUCAAAAAAUAAAGUUGAAUUAAAAAAAAUCAUGCUAAGUGAAAGAAGCCAGACAAAAAAAGACUUAGUUGAUUAUCUGCUUCUGGUGGCGUUUAACUUAUACCUCGAUGAUUUGGAAGUUUAAUCUAAAGGCUUGACUUAUGUUUGGCAAGACUAUUUCAUCAGUCAUGCUAUGUACUUCAUACUACAUCGCAUAAGGAGGGGCCAUGGGUUCAAACCUUCGUCUGGGAAGAUGACACAUUACUUGGUGCACAGGGCAGCUAAGCCAGGGCGCCACCACGACUGAAGCCGCCCGCUCUGGAGCCCAAGCUCCCCAACAAGAGAAGCCAGCGCGCUGAGACGCCCACACGCUGCACCUAGAGAGUAGCCCCUGCUCACAGCAGCCUGGACCCCACGCAGCCAAACAACACACACGCACAGAGGAUGAACAUUUAAGUGUGUGUGUGAGAGAGAGGUCAGAUAACGCUUCUCCAAGAGGCAGCUAAGGAAUCUGGACUCCUUCUGGCAUGUGAGCCAAUAUCUGAACAUCCUUUGCUUCUAAGCCUAUAGACAGAGGAGCUAAUUAUCUCAUGGGAAACUAGGGAUCAAGCCUGGACAUGACAGACAUUACUUCUGCCCAUGUUCUGCUGGCCAGACUAAUCACGAGGCUCCAGCCUAACUGCAAGAGAGGCUGGGAAACAGUUCUCCUUUGUGACCAGGAAGAGGAAAAAGGCACGUGGGCCUCUUGCAUCUACUUGAAAGGUGGAUCCUUUAUCUUCUGAGUCCCCAGGGAAGC
ensembl:lncRNA